rnacentral:rRNA from 1 species
UACGUAGGGUGCGAGCGUUGUCCGGAUUUAUUGGGCGUAAAGAGCUCGUAGGCGGUUUGUCGCGUCGGCCGUGAAAUCUCCACGCUUAACGUGGAGCGUGCGGUCGAUACGGGCAGACUUGAGUUCGGUAGGGGAGACUGGAAUUCCUGGUGUAGCGGUGAAAUGCGCAGAUAUCAGGAGGAACACCGGUGGCGAAGGCGGGUCUCUGGGCCGAUACUGACG